GGCCUUCAGAAGCAAUAGAACUGCCAGCUACAGUAGUUCGUGGGACAUCAAAGCCGCGAUUAGCACAGCUUCCUGGCUGUCGCACUCCGCGUAUUUAUGGCGCGUUGCACAUUUAAGUGCUAUUCUCAUAAGACGUUUCAGCUGUCAAAGCGCCAUAUUUGGGCGAUAAAAGUGACUGAAAUUACCAGGGGGUCCUGCGUUCCCAAUCCCAGCAUUGUGCCAAAGCCAACGACAACCAAAAACCACCGAAUUUAUUUCACCAUUUGCGGAACACCUGUGAGCAGCCUGGUGGACAUGCAGUACACAUGGGGUCCAGAGAGAGGGGGCUGCAGCAGACAAGAUGGAUGCCCUCCAACCUGA
rnacentral:lncRNA from 14 species